UACGUAGGGGGCAAGCGUUUGUCCGGAAUCAUUGGGCGUAAAGAGCGCGUAGGCGGUCCGGUAAGUCCGCUGUGAAAGUCAAGGGCUCAACCCUUGAAUGCCAGUGGAUACUGUCGGACUAGAGUCCGGAAGAGGCAAGUGGAAUUCCCGGUGUAGCGGUGAAAUGCGCAGAGUAUCGGGAGGAACACCAAUGGCGAAGGCAACUUGCUGGGACGGUACUGACGCUGAG
rnacentral:rRNA from 1 species